GCCGGGUUGGUUUAAUGGGAAAAACACCUGCCCCGUAAUGUGGCUGUUGACACCGUACUAAAUUGCGGUUGCUAGACACCACACAGGCGCUGACUCCAUCUGAGGGAGAUGCCGGUUCGAAUCCGGCACCCGGCA